rnacentral:rRNA from 1 species
UACGUAGGAUACAAGCGUUGUCCGGAUUUACUGGGCGUAAAGCGCGCGCAGGCGGCACUCUAAGUACGUCGUGAAAUAUCCCGGCUCAACCGGGAGGGUGCGAUGUAGACUAGGGAGCUAGAGGUCGGUAGAGGGGGGUGGAAUUGCUGGUGUAGCGGUGAAAUGCGUAGAGAUCAGCAGGAACACCCGUGGCGAAGGCGGCCCCCUGGGCCGUACCUGACGCUGAGGCGCGAAGGCUAGGGGAGCGAACGGG